rnacentral:lncRNA from 1 species
UAUGAGCCCAACAAGAGAGGACACAUGCCUCUGGCAUCCUCAAUCAGAUAAGAAACAUGGCAUAUAGAAAACUGAAACCAUGAAGAUAAGCAACAAAAGAAAAAUACAGGAACAAAGAAUAUGCAAAAGAAUCAGGAAAAAAAAAAACGAACCAUUAACAGAAUGACAGAAGUCUACUCAACAAUGGCAUCACAUGUAAAUGGAUCAAAUUCCCCAGUUAAAAGAGCCAGACCAGCUGAGAAGAACAAAAAACUAAGUCCAACAAGAUAGUGUCUGCAAGGAACACCUACCCAGAAAGCAAAGGGUUGGAAAAAGUUAAGGCACACAGAUGGAACUUCAAAGUGAGAAUAACUGCUUAUGCUUAUAUGACAGAAAUAAACUUUAAAGCAAAAUAUAUGAAAGGAUAGAAAGCAUUAUUAUGAAAUGAGAGGUAUCAAAAUAACAACAAGAAAUAAUAAUUAUAAAUGGUUUUGCACUGAAUACUAAGGGAACCUAAUUAUAUAAGGAAAAGAUGAUAGAUCCUCAUUCAAAAACAUUUAGAAAUUUCCAUAUCCCACUUUUAUCAAUGGACAGAUAUUCCAGACAAAAAUUAAUGAAAUAUUAUUACCAGAUUCAAGCUUCAAUAUAGAACAUGUACAUUUAAUAUGCAUUUAUAGAACAUUUCAUGCAGGACCUAAAGAACAAACCUUAUCAUCAUAUGGACUAUUACCUAGGAUGUUCCACAUGUUAGCCUAUAAAACAAAUCUCACCAAAUUCAAAUAAAUGGAAACCAAGCAUGUAGCUUCUUUGAAUACAAUGUAAUAAAGCUAGAAAUGAAAAGAAACAUUAAAAAUUUAUAAACACUUAGCAAUUAAACAUUAAUCAUUCUUAAUGACUAAUGGAUCAAUGAAGAAAUCAAAAGAAAAGUUCAAAACUACUCUGAAUCCAAUGGAAGUCAAAUCACAAUAUGAUAACUUGAGGCAUACAAUAAGCAUAAAUAGUAGUUUAUAAAAUAUGAAAGAUCACAUAAAUGUAAAAAAGUAAUACAAUUCAAGAAUAUAGGAAAGCAAUAAAUAAAUUGAAAACUAAUAGAAGGAAAUAUAUAACAGAUCACAAUAGAAAUAAAUGAGGAAAUUAAUACAUGUGGGAAAUUAAUACUGUAUACCAGUAUUAAUACUGGUAAUACAUGUGUGUAUUACCAGUGAAACAAUGAACUAUUUUUCUAAAAUAAAUUAAUGAAACUGUCAAACUAAGGCUAAAUUAACUAAGAAAAGAAGAGAGAACUAAAUUAACAAAAUCAGAGAAUAAAAGAAGAAAUUACAACUAAUAGCAGAGAACUACUAAAGAUUGUUAGGAACCAUUAUGGAAGAUCAUGUACAAUAAACUUAGGUAGCAUAGAGAUGUACAAAUUUCUGGGCACAUACAAGCUACCAAAAUUGAACCAUGAGGAUAUCAAAAUAACAAUUUAUGAGAUAUAAUCACUAACAAAACAUUUCUUCAGAAAUAAUAGUCAAGAUGUAAAUGGUUCUAUUGACAAUUUUUACAGAACUUUUUGUUUUGUUUUGUUUUUUGUUUCACAAGAAUGGGUUUCUCUGAAUUUUUACAGAACUUUUAGAGAUCUAAUAAGAACUUUAGGUGAACAGCUGUCAAGUAUGGAAAGUAUGUCAUGCUCUGAGGCCAGCAAUACACUCACACAACCUUACACUCACACAGCUUUACACUCACACAGCUUGACACUCACACAACUUUACACUCACAUACAACAUUACACUCACACACAUUACACUCACACACAUUACACUCACACACAGCAUUACACUCACACAACUUUACACUCAGACAACAUUACAUUCACACAACUUUACACUCACACAACUUUACACUCACACACAACAUUACACUCACACAAUAUUACACUCAUACAACAUUACACUCACAUAACUUUACACUCACACACAACAAGAAGGAGACAACUAAAUGUCAAUAGCCCUAAUGAACAAGAUACAAAAAUUCUCAACAUAAUACUAGAAAAGUGAGAAUAAUAGCAAACAAAGGACUAUGUACCUUGCUCAGUGAUUCAAGGACAGUUCAACACCCACAAAUCAAUUAAUAUGAAACAUUUCAUCAUUCAAAUAAAAAAUAAUAACAAUAUUUAUCAUCUCAGUAGAUGUUAAAAAAUAUAGGUUCUUUACAACUACAUACUAAAUACUGAUCCUUUACCCACAGAUAAGUGUAUUCUGAAAAUAUGCUCAUCAAGGAAACUUCUCUUUCCAAAAAAUGGAGACCAAAACAAAACAAAACAAACCACAAUAAAUCAAAAUGCAGAGUUGAAGAGCCCAGUCCCAGUGGCUACAUCUACAAUACAACUCCUACAUCUAAGGCUCACAGAUCAUUGAAGAAGAAGAGAGGGUAGAAAAAUUGUAAAAGCCAGAAGACUGGGAAAUUUGCUCUUAAAAUGUAUCUCCUAGGAAUAUCAGAAGAGCUAUACCUAUAAAUAUCCUUUCAUGGCUAUAAAAAUACUAUAAAAAUCAGGAAUGGAAGGAAUUUACCUCAAAACAGUAAUGAACAUGUGUGACAACCUUACAGAGCUUCUACCACUGUAAAUAAAAGGAAAGCUGAAAUUGUUGCUCCAAGACAAAGAUUCCAUUUUCACAACUCAUGCUGAAUAUAUAAAUAAGAGUCCAGACCAAGAAAUAAAGCAAGAAAAAGAAAUGAAGGAUAUCCAAAUAGAAAAGGAAGGAGUCAAAUUAUUACUGUUUAAAUAUUCUGACAUUACAUAUAGAAAAUCUACCUUCAUAGCCCACAAACAUGUUUAAGGAGAUAAGUUUUAUAAAGUUAUAUGUAGGGAGACACCCUAGCCCCGCCCAAUAGUCCUGGGACAGGUACCAGGUGGACCCGGGACUCGCCCAUAAGGGCGUGGUGAAGGAAAGCCGAGGUGACGUAAGGGAGCUUCUUAAGGGGCUGCACAUGGGGACCUUGGCCCCCUUUUUUGUUCUGGC